rnacentral:lncRNA from 1 species
GAGUCAAAGAAGGAUGUGAGCACUGAAGAAAGGCACAGAGAGAUGCAACACUGCUGUUAUUGAAAAUGGAGGAAGGGAGCUGUGAGUCAAGGUGUGUGGGCAUUAUCUGGAAGCUGGAAAGGGCAGGGAAAGAGCUUAUCCCCUAGAGACUACAGAAAGGAGGGCAGCAUCUGCUGAUACCUUCAGUUUCUUUUAGCCCAGUGAGACCAGCGUUGGACUUUUUUGUAAAGAACUAUAAGGCGGCUACUCCUGGCAGAAAGAUGAUGACUUGACUCUACUGGUUUGGCAAACCCAGCUAAAAUACAUAGUUGUAUAUUCUAGUUGUGAGUGCUUCCGGUUGUGCUAUGUGGGACACCACCUCAGCGUGGCCUGAUGAGCGGUGCCAUGUCCGUGCCCAGGAUCCAAACCAGCAAAACCGUGGGCCCCGAAGCAGAGCGAACGAGCUUAACUACCCGGCCACAGGGCUAGCCCCUAUUAAAACUUUUUAAGUUAAAAACUGGGAUGUCAGUUGCUACCCACACUGAAUAUAAAUUUAGAAAUUCUUUCUACACUGCAUAAUCUUGCUUAUAAUCAGGUCUAUUUUAUUCCUUACUUUCUUGGUAUUUGCUCGAGUAUUUAUCAAAAGAUAAUUUGCCCAUCACUAAGAAAAGGUAAAUAUUUAAGUAAGGGAUUUUAUCACAAUCAGGGCUUUCUCACAGAAAUGGUGUAAAUUAAUGUGUCCAAAUGUCAUUUGGUAAAAAUAUGCUUCCAAAUUAGUUUUUAACAAAGUAUUCUGAUAAAAAUAAUUGAUGGAAAAAAUAACCUGACUCAAAUAUAUAAAAAAAUUAUUGAUUUUUCAUGCAUGUUUUAACAUGGAUUAAGAUAAAAUGUAUGCUCAAAUAUUUAAAAUAUACUUAUUUACAAUGUUCUGCAUUAUAUUUUCUACUUCUUCCCUGAAAGUAAUAUAAAACCUUAAAGCCUAGAUGAAAGCUAAAAUCUCAAAAAAUUGAUAGGAUUUUUUAAGUGAAUCCAAAAUAAGAAAUAUUUCUUAUGUUAUAAAACAACCACAGGGAUUUCAGUUUUUAAAUAAAUAAAAUGAUUUUGCCUUCAGGAGAUGAGUGUGGACAUUAGAGGAUUAGAAAGAAAGUAUCCAACUUGCAAACUGUUCUACUCUUAGUGAGUUUCUUUUUUAUAUUUGCUUUUAUUAUACACCAUGCUAUUGUCCUCAAAAUUGUAGCCUCAAGCUUAACACUUAAUAAACAUUUACAUGAAUAAUGGCACUAGAUGAAGAGGAUAUAUGUUAUUUAUAAAA